CUCGUACCGUGGGACAGGGCUAUAACCCUGCAAGUCUCUGGCUGGGUAGGAAGGAACUGCAGGUGCUGGUUUAUACCGAAGAUGUUUAAUAUCUGAACUGGAAAUGUUUGAUUGGUCAGAAGGAACUGCAGAUGCUGG